rnacentral:rRNA from 1 species
UACGAAGGGGGCGAGCGUUGUUCGGAAUUACUGGGCGUAAAGGGCGCGCAGGCGGCUCGACAAGUCAGAUGUGAAAGCCCCGGGCUCAACCUGGGAACGGCAUUUGGGACUGUCGGGCUAGAGUUCGGGAGAGGUGGGUGGAAUUCCCAGUGUAGAGGUGAAGUUCGUAGAUAUUGGGAAGAACACCGGUGGCGAAGGCGGCUCACUGGACCGAGACUGACGCUGAGGCGCGAAAGCGUGGGGAGCAAACAGG